rnacentral:rRNA from 1 species
UACGUAGGGGGCAAGCGUUGUCCGGAAUUAUUGGGCGUAAAGCGCGUGUAGGCGGCUCGGUAAGUCUGCUGUGAAAGUCCAGGGCUCAACCCUGGAAUGCCGGUGGAUACUGUCGAGCUCGAGUCCGGAAGAGGCGAGUGGAAUUCCCGGUGUAGCGGUGAAAUGCACAGAUAUCAGGAGGAACACCAAUGGCGAAGGCAGCUCGCUGGGACGGUACUGACGCUGAGACGCGAAAGCGUGGGGAGCGAACAGG